CGGACGGGUGAGUAAUGUCUGGGAAACUGCCUGAUGGCGGGGGAUAACUACUGGAAACGGUAGCUAAUACCGCAUAACGUCGCAAGACCAAAGAGGGGGACCUUAGGGCCUCUUGCCAUCGGAUGUGCCCAGAUGGGAUUAGCUAGUAGGUGGGGUAACGGCUCACCUAGGCGACGAUCCCUAGCUGGUCUGAGAGGAUGACCAGCCACACUGGAACUGAGACACGGUCCAG
rnacentral:rRNA from 1 species